rnacentral:misc_RNA from 1 species
AUUGAUAUUAUUUGUUUACAGGUCGAGUGAGUUUAUGCUCCCCGUUAGAUAGUCAAAUUUAUGAUCGAACUCUGUUCGUUUAUUUUUUUAAAAUCAGGCUACCUUAAUGGGUUUAUGAAUGGAUAGGAAAUAGUUAAGCUUAUUAUGAAUUUCGGAGGCCUUAUGCUGACCCAAGUCUUAGUGUUGGUCUGGCCCAGAAAUCGGGUAGUGACAAGCUGAUCUUUCGAAAUAUCACUUCACUUGCGGAGAACGUAUAUAGGAUAUAUAUCUUACAUGCCUUGACAAAAUUAACAUAAUUUUAUAAAAGGGUAUGUGUUGUCUUUUUCUCUAUAUGCACUUU